CACACACACACACACACACACACACCACAGACAACAUAGUAAUAAAUUGUCAUUUUAAAUAAAGAUACUAUGAUCUUGUUCUCUAUCAAAAAUACAUUGCACAGUAGUCCAAGUCUUUGCAAUCACAGAUACCUACCAGUAAAAUAUUUUGAGCUGGCACAAAUAUAUGAUAUGUAUUUUUACUUAUUUAUGAAUUAUAGAUGUAUAUAUAAACUAAUAUGUAUAUGUACAGUGCUGAUGUGAGCAUUAUAAACCAUGCAUUUAAAAUUAGAUUUUAAAGUAUGAGAUUAAAUAUAAAUGAUAAAAGAAGUUUUACUAUUUCUUUCUACAACCCAACACUCUAUACUGUAUGUCACAAUGGUUUGCACGCUGUGCAUGGUUUACAUUCUCUGUAAACAUGGAAAUCAUGUUUACAGAGAAUGAUCCUUUGAGUCCUUUUCUGGAAAACUGUGUUGGGAUUUUGGGGGAGGGAGAUAAACUCGAUGUAAUGAGGGUGCCUAUGGUAUAUACCAAGAGGAGGGGCUAAGCCCCAUUUGUAUUCCAUGUCUUUGUUUACCAAUUCUGCCUUCCAAAUGAACUGGUCACCACUGGCUCUCAUCCUUUAGUUGUCACUGGAGAUUGGGUGUGGUGUUAAAUUGUCAACUUGACACAAUCUUGAGAUUCACUUAGGAAUUGCCUUUAGAUUAUAUUGAACUGUGGACAUGUCUAUGGGGAUCUAUGUCUAUGUAGCGACUAUGUUAACUGAGAUAGGAAGACCCUCCUACUGUGGGUGACACCAUUCCCUAGGCAAGGGAUUCUGAACUGGGUAAGAGUGUUAAAAAAGAAAAAGAAAAAAAAAAAAGAGAACUGAUUCACUGCUCCCUGCUCUUGGCGCUUGUAACUGACGAGCUGUUUCAGAUCUCUUCCACCUUGACUUUCCCACAGUGAUGAUCCUGGAAUUGUGAGUCAGGUAAGCACUUUCUUGCAUCAGCUGCUCGAAAUGGGCAUUUUAUCACAGCAACAGGAGAUGAAAUAAAGACAGGGUGAGUCCAUGGAACGUGGUAGUUUUCAAGGUACUGGUGUUCCUUUAUCAUAGAUUGUACCUGUAAAGAGAAGCUCUCUGUCUCCUGCAUUCUAAGUGUGUUGGCUCUGUGCUCCACAGGACAGCCAGCUAUAGGAGAAAACCAAGGACAUAUACCUCUAUCAUUUGCCUGAAGAAGAACAGGAAUGCACACCUUGGCUGGAAAUCAGUGAUCAGGUACUGUCCUGCUGCCCACUGUGGUCCAUCAUCAAAGAAAAGAGUUCUUGAGCCAAAGAUGCUGAUUUGAUGGUGGAAGUGAUGGAGAAUAAGUAAGCUGCUUCGAUGAAGUCUGGAUUAUAUCACAAGAAAAACUACAGGCACGGGGAACAAUAGAAAUAAUUUGGGAUGUCCUAGAAAGGACUAGAGACUAGAACAUGAAAACCCGCUGUGUAAGACCAUUCCAGGCAGAGACAACAGCAAUUACUUUUCUCAUUGGUGUGGCAAAAAUACUGGAGAAAAGCAACUCAGGAGGUCACGUUGAUUUUGGCUGAGUGUUUAUACAAGGAUACAGACCAUCCCAGGUGAUGGCAUCAUCCUGGCAGCAGGAGGCUGAGGCAGCUGGUCAGACUUCAUCUGCAAUCAGGACGCAGAGGAAGAUGAACGCUUGGUGUUCAGCUUGCCUAGAAUGGGAUGGUGCCUUCUACAUUUAGGGUAGGUUUUCCCACUGCAACGAACCCAAUCAAAAUACUGCAAACUCCUUCACAAACAUGCUCAGAAGUUUGUCUCCUGGGUGAUUCAAGACCCUCUCAAGUUGGCAAUGCCAACCACCACCAAGUUCAAAGGCUCCAAGGUAGGCCUGCUGUGCUAGAGGGAGGGGAGAGGCACUGUGUGACCACAGCAGAGGGAAAAGGCAGAAAGAGGUGAGGGAAAGCCAACAUGGCCAUGUGAAGUACGUCUUAGGGUGCAUGGCGGUGGGUGGGCCAUGGCGCUUUUCUCUCAACGUCAGGGGACAUCUGCAGUGUUCUGAGCAGCACAGGCCAUCAAUUUUUGCGAUUAUCAUAAGUAUAGGAAGUACACACAGAGAGGAUAUACUUAUCCAGAUGUUUCUAGUCAUGCUCCAGGUAUAUCAAGGAGCCAGCCACAUCAUGACUGGAGGGAGGUAUGGCCCAGUGCCAGAAAUCAGGCUCAGGUGACAGGCUCAGCUGGAAAGGGGUACCCAUCUGUCACAAACAACCCUUGCUCUCUACUACUUGUCCAAUGUCUAUAGGUGGCAGAGAUAUUAAUACUGGAGCAUUAAGCAUCCACCAAGCAUGUGCUGCACCGGAGGACUCUCGCUUUGUGUGCUUUUUGAGCCAGUAACUAUCAGAAACAACUCCCACCAGCUCAUAAGGAACCCUACUGAGGUUUGGAUGUGAUCUGGCCUUCAAGAGCAGUGUGUUGGAAGCUUGGUGGGAAUGUGAGAGAUGGUGGUGAUACCCUUGAGAAGUGUCACCUGUUGGUACUAAAUGAUGUCACUUGAUUAUGACCCUUGGAAGAGGUUAAGGUAGUUUUCAUGGGAUCCUUCCAUUGAAAGGCAAUGUUAUAAAACAGCACACCUACCCCUCCCCAAUUUCACCAUGUGAGUUCUCUCCUGUUCCAUGCCUUUCUAUUUUUUGUGCCACCCAUCAAAACCAAGGCAGUGCUAGCACCAAGUCCUUGAAUCUCUAGAACUUUGACCUAAAUAAACCUCAUGUCUUCGUAAA
rnacentral:sRNA from 1 species